rnacentral:rRNA from 1 species
UAAUCUACCCUCGAGUGGGGAAUAACCUAGGGAAACCUGGGCUAAUACCGCAUAACACUUACGAGUCAAAGCAGCAAUGCGCUUGGGGAGGAGGUCGCGGCAGAUUAGCUAGUUGGUGGGGUAAUGGCCUACCAAGGCGAUGAUCUGUAUCCGGCCUGAGAGGGCGCACGGACACACUGGAACUGAAACACGGUCCAGACUCCUACGGGAGGCAGCAGUGGGGAAUUUUGGGCAAUGGGGGAAACCCUGACGCAG